rnacentral:tRNA from 1 species
GGAAUCAUGCCUGAAUGAUCAAGGGCCACUUUGAUAGAGUGACCCACGGGGGCUCAAAUCCCCCUGAUUCCU